UACUGCCAGAGGACAUGCUGAGUUGUAAACACACUUGCCUGCCUGAGAACUGAGUUUACAGAGAUCAUGGCAUCUUCACAUCUGAGACUGUUUUUACAUUAUGCAUAUAUUUUAUUUCUGGAGUUUUUGGUUUCAUUUCUUACCUGCCUAUAUAAACUCAAAAUAUCCCCAAGUAAAGAGAUGCCUUGAUAAAAAAUUUACUUGGCGUCAGUGUCUCUUUGUUCUCGAACAUUUUAUUUUGCAGGUCCUGUCUAACCUCCAGCUGAAGAGACCCACAGACCUGAGUGGGACUUCGGGCCGGUUUCACUCAGAAGGUUCCCCGGGCAUGCGGCUCAGAUGGGGAGGAAAUAGAGGACACACUGUCGAAGAGCUCUGCAUAAUAAAAGAAAAGAAGGAAAGGGACAUGUGUCUUCCACAUGGGGAAGAUGUUGGUGUUCUCCCCGCUGCCUCAGCUCCAUGGCCAAGCUGACAACCUCCACUGCCUGAGCCUGUAGACAGACACUGUGGGGCUAAACAAUGGUUGCUACACUGACAGGUCUGCCUUUGAAGUCAAGCAACCUGGAGGCCACACUGAGUCACUGACACACCUACUGCCAGAGGACGUGCUGAGUUGUAAACACACUUGCCAGCCUGAGAACUGAGUUUACAGAGAUCAUGGUGUUUUCACAUCUGAGACUUUAUUAAUGUUAUGCAUAUAUUUUAUUUCUGGAGUUUUCAGUUUCAUUCCUUACCAGCCUAUAUAAUCUCAAAAUGCCCCCAAGUAAAUAGAUGUCUUGGUAAAAAUGUA